UUUAUAUUAUAUAAAAUACAUUUGUAAAUAUAUAUUAUAACUAUAAGGUUUUCUGAAGCAUUUGAAAGGAUCAACUGAAUCGAUCGUCAGUAAGUCUGUCGCGCGAAUAAAUGUAUUAUACAAUGUUUCGAAGGACAUGGAGUGCAUAUCGUUUAAACGCAUGCGCAAAAAUGGGAUGCGCGCUUGUCGGACAUUAUAAUUGGUCGUUCGCUCGCAUUUAACGUGAAAAAACAGAAGAGUGUCGUCGGUGGUGCGAUACGUAGCAAGUAUCGUCUCGCUUUGGUCUAUAGUCCAGCUUAUUAAACAUAAGACGAGGAAGAAGAAGAGGAAGAAAAAGAAAUGCAAAAGAAAUCUAGAAAUAGAAAAGAUAGUAAAAGGGAUAAUUUAGAUGAUUGAAUGACAAUGAUAGAAGUUGAGAACUCGUUCUUUCUUCCGCGAAUAUCUUUGCUUUCAACGCGAGGAACACGUGCUUCGAAUGUUUUCUGCUAUAUGGCAUUGUCGAGAAGUUGACAUGUGGGCCACACGAAGCGACGACGAUACAACACAACAACAAACAACACAACGAUGAAGAAGACGAUGACGAUGACGACGACGACGACGACAACGACAAUGUGGUAAAGAAACAUACGAGGACACUAAACGAAUAAGUGAAAAAGAGAUAAAUGCGUAAAGUCAGAGAGCAAGAAAGAGAGAAAGAGAUAGAAAGAGCUUGGACUUUACCGUGAGCCAAUCCAAGCUGUGACCUUGAGGAGCUCUAGAAAGAGAGAUAUAUUUAGUCGUGAGCGGAUCGAGUUGGCUGCCGCCAUAGCUUGUGUGCCUACUCCUUUUGCAUUAGUAUAAUAUAUAUGUGUAUGUGUAGUAGUAGCAGCGUGUAACUGACAUGAGCUGUGGUUUAACUGUGGCUUGUGUGCUUGAUUCUAUUGCAUUAGUAUGUGUACGUACUUGUGUGGAUUUGUGUGCGCAAAUAGCGUGUAACUAAACUGUACUAUAGUUGUAGCUGUAGCUGCUGUUGCUGUAGUCACUGGAAAAGGUCAACGAUAUGUUAAACGAACAACCCAGUGACAAGAGAAACCUAACAGCAGUUCUCCUUGGUUGCUUUUGAAAUACAACGACGAUGAGGACGAUGACGACAAUGACAACGAGUCAUGGGAUACUCAAACUUACUCGGCCCAAUUUCCGUGAAGCUCUCAAGCGUUACGAGGCCACUGGGCAUUCCUAAAUUACAGUUGGUACUUCCGCCACCUAGUAUCUACGCUGUUAAUCUACAGUAUGUUCCAUGAACUCGACGUAAGUGUGUUUCAUUUUACUAUCUAUCGAGGAAAAAUACAGGAAACCUAGAGAUGAGAAUAUUGUCGAGCUUAGAUAUACGUAAAUGGAAUUGAAUUACAAUUUUUUUUAUCUUAAUAUUAAAACAUAGUAUAUAUUUCUGAUGGAAAAGUAUAUUUUUUAAUUGAACAUAAUGCAAACCAAGAUUAGAAAAUUUUACUGCAUGGGUAUGACAAUCAAUAAAAUCUGGCACUUAAAAUUAUUUGCUACUUAAAAGUUACAUGAUCACCUGCAAUCUUACUAGGUUCUUGUUUCACUGUAAUAUCAAUUAUUUUUGCCAUUUUCUAUCAUACCAUAUCGUUUAGUUCGAAAAUUAUAUAGUAAACUCUUAUUCGAGGUAAGAAGUAGUAUAUAUUAGAAUUGUUAUUUAUUAAAAACUUAAAAGUAU
rnacentral:lncRNA from 1 species